rnacentral:rRNA from 1 species
CACGUAGGGUGCGAGCGUUGUCCGGAAUUAUUGGGCGUAAAGAGCUCGUAGGUGGUUUGUCGCGUUGUUCGUGAAAACUCACAACUCAAUUGUGGGCGUGCGGGCGAUACGGGCAGACUGGAGUACUGCAGGGGAGACUGGAAUUCCUGGUGUAGCGGUGAAAUGCGCAGAUAUCAGGAGGAACACCAGCGGCGAAGGCGGCGCUCUGGGCCGGUACUGACACUGAGGAGCGAAAGCGUGGGUAGCAAACAGG